rnacentral:tRNA from 1 species
GGAGAGGUCGCAUAGAGGCCUAGUGCGCCCGCUUGGAAAGCGGAUAUACCGUAAGGUAUCGGGAGUUCGAAUCUCCCCCUCUCCGCCA